rnacentral:rRNA from 1 species
GUAGGGGGCAAGCGUUAUCCGGAUUUACUGGGUGUAAAGGGAGCGUAGACGGCACAGCAAGUCUGAUGUGAAAGCCCGGGGCCCAACCCCGGAACUGCAUUGGAAACUGCUGGGCUUGAGUGCAGGAGAGGUAAGCGGAAUUCCUAGUGUAGCGGUGAAAUGCGUAGAUAUUCGGAGGAACACCAGUGGCGAAGGCGGCUUACUGGACUGUAACUGACGUUGAGGCUCGAAAGCGUGGGGAGCAAACAGGAUUAGAUACCCUGGUAGUCCACGCUGUAAACGAUGAAUACUAGGUGUGCGGGGACUGACCCCCUGCGUGCCGCAGCUAACGCAAUAAGUAUUCCACCUGGGGAGU